rnacentral:rRNA from 1 species
GACGAACGCUGGCGGCGUGCUUAACACAUGCAAGUCGAACGGAAAGGCCCUGCUUUUGUGGGGUGCUCGAGUGGCGAACGGGUGAGUAACACGUGAGUAACCUGCCCUUGACUUUGGGAUAACUUCAGGAAACUGGGGCUAAUACCGGCUAGGAGCUCCUGCUGCAUGGUGGGGGCUGGAAAGUUUCGGCGGUUGGUGGUGGACUCGCGGCUUAUCAGCUUGUUGGUGGGGUAGUGGCUUACCAAGGCUUUGACGGGUAGCCGGCCUGGGCGGGUGACCGGCCACAUUGGGACUGAGAUGCGGCCCAGACUCCUACGGGAGGCAGCAGUGGGGAAUAGUGCACAAUGGGCGGAAGCCUGAUGCAGCAACGCCGCGUGCGGGAUGACGGCCUUCGGGUUGUAAACCGCAUUCGCCUGUGACGAAGCGUGAGUGACGGUAAUGGGUAAAGAAGCACCGGCUAACUACGUG